GUUUUGAAACUUUUAGGGUUUUUGAUUUUAUUCACUUUUUCUUCAAAAAUCUUUUCUUUUAAAAGGUUUAAAUUAUGUGUUUGCUGAUUGUGAGUUGAGACUAGUAUUAUUUGAAAGAUUCAUAGUGAUUUUAUAUCAUUUAAAGAGGUUUCGGCUCAAAUCAGAAGGUUUUAGUUGAGUUUUUGAAGUUUCUGGGCGAUUUUUUAUGAAUACAGCGAUUUUAUUUUGAAUACAGCGAUUCUAUUUUGAAUAUAGCGUUUUUAUUGAAAGUUCCGGCGAAUUUGGCGGCGAAAUUAAAUCUUGAACGCGAGUUCAAGUUCUCCGGCAUAUUAAAUACGUCGGUAAGUCACUGUUUCCGUCGCCGUGAUUCCGCCGGUUUUAUUCCGAGCGUAUUUAAAAAAAGGAAUAGAGUAGAAACAGAUCUGUUUGGUGUUCUUAAUUAUUGACAUCUUCGACACCAUCAACAACUGUAUUACGUCAUACACACACACACACAUCGAUCACAUUCUGCUUUUCAUUUACAUACAUAAAAAGCCACCAUUUCCGACUAACUUCACCACCCACUCGAACCCCACGAACCACUGUAUAUUGUGCAUGUCUGAGCUUCGGUGUAAAAACAGAAGCUAACCACCACCGUCUCCUCCGUCGUACGACCAUCCAUCUCCUGUCACCCUAACACCCUCACCACUCCGAAUAACCGCCGCCUAUCACCACAUCGACACCUCUCCAAACACCACCUCCAUUUUACCGUCCACCGCCGCAUCUCCCCCCUGGACCCUCCAUCGCCGUAGGCCUUCCACACAUCUCCGUUGCCGGUCACCCACCCUUGUUGCUAUUUUUGUCUUAGAAAAGGAGAGAAGCAUAUGUGUGGAGUGAGAGAGAUAUCUGCUUAGAGUUUGAAAGAAAUAGACAGAGUUUUGAUAGAGUGAGAGAGAGAGGUGACGGCAGUUUGUUCCUUUAGGGUUUUGAGGAAAAGUUCAAAUUUUUAUCCAUUCUAUUUAAGUAUCUCUUCACAUCCGU
rnacentral:lncRNA from 1 species